UAGACUGAUGAACAUAAAUUUUAAAAAAUAUUCUCAGCUUCAAAUUAUUAUAAAACAAUGGAAAGAUUUCUUUUCUAGAAUCAAACCACACUGCAGAUUUAACAUUUACAAUAAUUUGUCUUUUUAAAAUUAUAACAAAAGUAAAACAAUGUGGUUAAACCUGAAGUCUAAUUGCAAAAUCGACAGUUCAAUUAUUUUCUUAAGAAGGUACUCAAGGCUUGUCAGUGACUCAAACUAAUUUGUUACAAGAAGAAUGAAUUUCAAAUUUCAAAAGGCUUAGUGCAGUGGAAAAGCUCUGUAUUUUACUGAAAAUAAAGAAAUUGGCAUGCAGUAAUCAUAUUAUUCUUGUCAAAACCAGGUUAACUAAACAGUUAAUGAAACCAUCCCCUGGUGAGUGGAAUGGUUGCUAGAGGCCUCCCCAUGGGUAAGAGGAGACACUGAACAAGAAGGAAGCCAGUGGAUCUCUCAGAGCAAUGAAAUUCUACCUGUCUCAGAACCCACUUAUGAUGGAACAGACCAUGUUCAGGUACACUCUGUUUACACAGUUUUAUAUAUUUUGUUAUUGCUACUAAAUUAGAAUAAGAUUUUAAAAUGUGCUUAGUAUGAAAAAUAAGAAAGCUAUCUUUGAAAACUAAAAGAAAGUGAGCAUGGAGUUGGGUGAGAAUGUACUUUUUCCUUCACAAUGAGGGGCUUUUGAGAGCAGGGAAGAAGAUAUGUCUCAUCCUCUCACUGUCUGAAGGCUCAACACGCACAAAAGCCAGAAGUGGGAUGGGGGAACUCCCAGUGUGUGUCUUUGGUGAUUUAUUCAGAAAGAAUUUUUAAAGAACUAUUAAGUGCCACACGAUAGAUGCUAUCAGUGGAAAGAAAAAAAAAUGCAUCUCCACUCUUAAGAAUAUCAGUGAAAAAUAAAUACAUGGACUAUAAAUAACACCUGUAGACUGUAGUGCAGUACCUUAAAUUUGGGGUCAGACAGACUUGGACUCUCAAACACUGACAUUGAAUUGUGAUCCCUAAUAGCUACCCAGCAUUCACACACCACUACAAGUUAAGGGAUCAUAAUGGAGUAAAUAAGAUGGUGUAAUGAUCCCCUGCCCAUCCCUGUUUAUCCAUACCCUAUGAUCAAUUGGUUGAUUCCUCUGUUAGUGAAUUUGCAAUCCAGAGGUGGCUUCUAUUAGCAUUACUCUAGUUUACAGUUUAGACUGAUACCACGUUUAACCCUUCUGACUUAAAAAUACAUGAACUUAGAAAGAUGAGUGAAACAAUGUGCCUGACUGUGAUAGCCCCAUGUAUGCUCAUGGUUAGUUGUUCUGAAAAUGGAAAAUGCAUUGCAAAGAACAUAGAAGCAAUUUAAAUCAAAGGUAGAGAAACCAGGUCAUGUCUCAAUCACAAGAGGGUGGUCUGUUUCCAUUUAUGCUGCACUUGUGGUGUGUGUAGGGUGCAGGGCAGUUGAGUUUGCCAGGCUGCCAUGCAGCCAUCUCUACAACCUGGUGAGGCUCAGACUCGCUUCUGUGCUGGAGCCAGGCCCAGGCUCUCAUUCCUACUACUCCUGACACCUCCUGACGUGCCUGUCUUCACACAGCUCUUCUGGCAGACUGAGCAGCUGCAGAUACUGGCGCUGAGUCCAUCAGAAGGUGCGGGCUGCCAAAGCACAGUUACAGGGAGGAGAGAGGCAGGGCAACCUCUGGCUGGCCUCUGACCUUUUCUGUGCUGAGCUCUAUUCCAGAGCCAGUGACCUGACAGAGCAGCGGCCCAGGCAACCAUCUUCUCCUCAUGUGAUCUCAUGAACCAGAGAUGCUUUUCCUCUACUCCCAACUCCCUUAAAAAAUCCUGACGUAUUUCUGAGCUUAAUUUGGCAAACAUUUGUGUCUGGGGAUGCGGGGGGCCCCGGACCCAGCACUUGCAGCUCUUCACCCAGGUACCUGUCCGUGUGCUGUCUAGUCAAGCUGCAGCUCUUGAAGGUUGUUUCCCAUCCCCUGGAUUAUUCCUCCUCCAUCCUAAGAAACUCAAAUAAAUCAUCAGCCAAGAGGAGAUGGGAAGUUCAUAAUAAGAGAGCAGAAAAGAGUGAAAGGAAGUCUUUAAGCAUCACCCUGCCUCCAGAAAAGGAGGAGGAAUUGGAAGAUUUGAACUGCAAGUUAGAUUUAGAAACUUUUGCCCUUCAGUUUCUUUCCAAAUAAAAUGUGAUAAUCUCCAAAAGACCUUUUAUUGAAGUCAUAAUAACUAGGCUUUCUAUAACUAUGUCAUGAAUUAAUGAAAGAUUAAAUGUUUAAUUUGCUUUUAAAUCAUCAUUAGGUUUAUUAAUAUUAAAAUUACUCUGCUCAUGAAUACCUUUUAGAUGGUUUGCUGUGACACUGUGAACUAAGGGGAAAAAUGUUAUUUGCUAAUUACUUUAGAUGACAAUUCAAUAGAUCCUCACUUUUGUUUAAAAACAGAUAAAAUAAAACCAAGAAGAUGUUCAUGGGACUACACCAGCAUUUUGGAAACCUGAAGACAGAGGUGAGUGCAACUGGCCCCGUGGAACAACUCAUGAGAAGUCUGUGGGUUUCAUAGUAACUAUCAAUCCUGCUCUCUAGAAAAGCUGUGCCACCAACAGACAUGGCACAAGGAACCAGAGAAUGAGAAGCAAAGUUUCCUGAACAGCCCUCUGGGAGGAAACCCAUAGAUCACCCAUUGCUUUUAUUUAAAAAAAAAAUUUUUGGGGGGGAGUAAGGGUACCAGGGAUUGAACUCAGGGUCACUGAACCACUGAGCCACAUCCCAGCCCUUUUUUGUAUUUUAUUUAGAGACAGGAUCUCACUGAGUUGCUUAGCAUCUCACUUUUGCUGAGGCUGGCUUUGAACUCAGGAUCCUUUUGCCUCAACCUCCUGAGCUGAUGGGAUUACAGGAAUAUGUCACCAUGCCCAUAAUCACUCAUUGCUUUUAACCUUCUCUCAAGCCAUCCAAUGAUUAACAAAUAUUUUUCUGCAGCAAAGAGUUCCCAGGCACUGCAAAGCUGGCACAUCAAAGGGCCAGGGAUUCCAAUCUGCUCACCAUCACUACUUCCUAAUCACAUCACAUCACUACCUACCUAAUCACCAACUUGAAAUCCUGGGUCUCACCAGACACCCCUGAGCAUCUUCCCCUCUUGGUCUCCACACACCGCAGUCAGCACAUUUGCUUCCAAAUGCUUCACCUUUCUCCAAAGCCACCAAGAAGGGAAUCCAACUGCCUUGCGACUGCCAGCCUGUCUUCUUGAUCAUCUGUCCUCUACCCUCUGCCCUGUACUCUUUGUAGAAAGCAGAUCUGGUUGUGCUCUUCACUUGCUUGAAACUAACUUUAAAUCAGAGCUCAGACACCUGCAGCCUGAGAGCAUCCUGUCCUGCAGGGAGUCCCAGACCUGCACUGAGAACCCCUUGGUGAGCCUUCAGAUAUGUCCUUUCCUAAACUCAUUCUAAGGCCAAUAAAUGUGGAUGUCUGGGGGCGAGAUCCAGGCACUAAGAACUUCCCAGGUGACUCUAGGGACAGCCAAGAUUCCACAGUUCUGUUCGCUGGUCAGAUGACUGAAAAAUGAGCACAAGUGUGGGAAAGUGUCUCUCCUCAGCAUGUGGCCUUUGUUUUCCUCUUCCACCACCAUCCACUGCCACCAGAAAUCCAUGCACAUCAUUGAAACAUUGAUUAUUAAUUUUCUCAUGUUUCAAAAGAUAUCAGAUGCCAAAGAUCCAAUUGCCCAUAACUCACAUUGAUAACACACUUACAUUGUCCAUACUAGCCUGCUUUUAUUAAGUUUUUAGUUAUUUCUCAUAAACCUACCUUGAAAAUUCAAGUGUAACAACUUUCAUGGAAGUAUAUGCUUUCCCCUGCCUCCUUUCACCUUUAGGAGUUCUUAUUCUCUCACUUUCUUUGAAGUUUUAUUGCAGCUGUUAGUAUUCCUAACAUUAUAUGUGUAUGUGUAUGUGUUUGUGUGUGUGUGUGUACAAAUGCAUAUAAAUGUAUAACAUUUUAGUGAUCCUUUAAUUUAACAAAAAUAUUCUGUUGAAUGUAUCUGCAUUCUGUGUAGUCUGGGAAGAGAUUAAGGAGAGAGGGAAUGGGAGAGAGAUUAGUUUUGAUGUGUUGUUUCAUAUUAUGGGAGCAGACCAUCUGAAAUCCAUGGCACUUGUGAGCAGGCUGGAAAUUUAGGAAAAAGUAGAUGCUGCAAUCUCGAGUCAAUUCCAUAAGUUAGCAGGUUGAAAACUCAGGUGAGUCUUCUAUGUUUCAGCCUUGAGAAUAAUCCUUUCUGCUUUAGGAACCUCAGUUCUUGCUCUUCAGGUUGUCAACUGAUUAGAUGAGGCCCACCUACACUAUAAAGUGUGGCCUAUGUUACUCAAAGUCAAUGAUAAUCACAGCUAAGAAGUAUUUUUCCACAUCUAGACUGAUGCUUAACCAAACAACUGGGGACCAUAACCUUGCCAGCUGGACACAUAAAAAUAGCCAUCAAAGAGUGGUGGUCCUUAAACUCACCCACUGUGCUCACUGGUUUUGACUAGAGUCAGCCUGUGGAUGUACCUGGUUGCCUUGCUCACUCUCUUGCUUAUGCACUUUUGAGAGGUCUCCAGGUUUUUGCUGCUCUGAACCUCAUUGCUACGAGCUUCAGGCACAGGCCUCCCUUGUGUGGGAUUGUCCCUGGUAUAUGUGCUGGGAAUGUGGCUGCUGGUCACAGGGCAUAUGAGAGGUCAGCCCAGGGAUCACACCCAGCUCUCUUCCUAGAAGCAGCAACAGUUGCUACAAGUGUCGAUCACAUGUGAGAUGCCCUUGGUCUAGUCUCCUUGGAGGUGUCCAGGCACUUUCUCACGGUCUCUUAGCUGUUGGUAAUAAAACCUUCAGAAGCUAUUUCAUUAUGAGGUCUAUAUUUAUUGUUAUUGAUAAUGUUACAUUCCUUUUCUGUGUUUGAUAGUCAUUUGUAUUCCUUUGUAAAAUUUAUGGUCAUAUAUUUUGGUCAUUUUUAAAUAGAUUAAUUAUAUUUUUCUUACCAAUUUGUCGGUUAUCUUUACAUAUUUUUAAUUUUCAAGUGUGUUAAUUAUAUUGAAACUCUAUUAUAUUGAAAAUAUAUUCUUAAAUUUCUAAAAUUUUUAGCUUAAGACAUCAUUUUUCACCUGGAUAAUCAAGCAUUGAUUACAUUAUUCUUGUAUCCAUUAUUUACAAAUGUAAAUGACAGUGUGUCUCUUAGUUGCUUUGGGUAUAUGGGAAAAAUUAAUCCUUGUGAAAAUAUUAUUAACAAUCACACAAAAUUGAGUACUACUUAAGUCAAACUUCAGCAAUAUGGUAAAAACUACUUAUCUUUACAUUCAAAGAAAAAUGCAUGAACUUCCUAUAACAAUAUGGGCAUAUAAUUUAAAAAACUCAUACUCACUUUACAUUAUUCUGUAGCUAGUAACAUCAUGAGAUGCUUUAAAGUCAGAAAUAUUGUACUAUUUAUAAAUACUCUGAAUAGGAAAGGAAUUAGCUGUAAAUUUUAUUCUCAAAAUUGAUCAAUAAGGAGGAAAAUACUGGUUAAGCAGACAAGAAUGUACCAAAACCAGGGUAUUACUCAUAUAUACAGAAGAUAUGAACAGUAUAGAUUUAUUUCUAGUUGAUUCAAUCCAAUUUACACAUUUAAAAUACAAAAUUACAUUUCAAUCUGUCAAGAAGCUGACCACAUUUAGCAUCAGUAGAGGAACUUGACUUGAGCUUCUGAUCAUGACCUCAAUAUCCUGGAAUAGGAAAAGGAAUUUCAUGGAAUCUAGAUGCAUUUAUCAACACCAAUUAAUAAAAAUUAAUUCUGAAAAGUAAUUCCUGAAUUUCAUCUAUUCACAAAUGAGUCAAAGGCAUUAGGACCUUAACACUUGGUAUUACUUGAUGUUGUGAACUACUCUCCUACAGUGGUUUGUUUUCAUCUCCUCCAAGGAUUGUUGCAGUUGCUGAACUAAAUGAAGUAGGGUGGCUGAGUCUGUCUGCAGAACUUUGGUGUUGCGGUCUCCAUUCUGAUUUGGGUGUAGUUUUAUAGUCACUGCUGGCUUAAUCUGUUGCCUGAGACUUCUGCUUGCCAGCUGUACAUCUAGUCACCACUCAAGGCUGUGGUAACUGGGAAGGCUGGGUGCCAAUUCACCCAGAAUAGUCCUGAUCUCUUUUCUGUUGUCCAGGUAAAGCUGAAGCAAUAAUUUGUUCAAUUCUUCAGAGAAUCCCAGAACAAAAACAGAGUCUUGGAAAUCCACUUCAGCAAUCAUGAGCUUGGAGCUCUCGGUGAGCAGGUAGGUCAACCCUUCCACACCAUGCUGGACAAUGUUGCUGCUCACGUUGAGCUUCCUGGUGGUGCCCUCAUAGACCUUGGGGAUGGUCCCUCGCCUCAGGAACUCCACCCCGAUCCACCCAAACUCCACCACCACUUCGGCACGAAAGCCAGGUGCUCCUUAUACUCUUCCGACAAGUCCAGCAGCAUCUUCGCUGGGCACCAUUUUUCACCCAGCAGCACCUGGGUCUUCCUGUUUAAGACAUCUUUGGGCAUACAGAUGUCUUUAAUGUUUUUAAAAAAUAUUUUUUUAGUUAUAGUUGGACACAAUAUUUUAUUUUAUUUAUUUAUUUUUAUGUGGUGCUGAGAAUCAAACCCAGCACCUUGCACAUGGUAGGCAAGCACUCCACCGCUGAGCUCCAGCCCCAGCCCCAGAUGUUUUUAAUUUUAUGUGCUCAAAUUACUAAUCUUUUCUCAUGUGAUCAUUUGUUUUCAUGCGUGCAUUCUUAGGAAAUAUUUUGUAAGAUCAAGUUUUAAAGUUAUCCACAAUAAUUUCCACUAAUCAUUUUAAAAUUUCCUUUUAAAAUAUUAACAUGGUUAAUAUAUCUAGAGUUGACAAUGCAUAUGGAAUGACGUAGGAAUGCAAGUGUGUAUUUUAUUUGUGGAAUGUCAAUUCCCCAGUCCCAUUUGUUAAGUGAUUCUCUCUUUUCCUACUUCUCUAUGAUGCCAUCUCCAUCAUGAAUCCAAGUUUUUCAUGUGGACAGUUCUGUUUCUGGGAUUCUUAAGAAUGUGUUGAUAAACUUGUGUUUUUAUUCUAUUGAUAAAUGAUUCUUGCUACAUCGGUUGAGAAUGUUUCCUUCCACUACAGAGUAAAAAGAAAAAAUAUGAUCAUAAGACAUCCACAUAUAUAGAAGGGUAAUAAUAGUAACCUGUGUGAUAGAGCUUUCCUUGGGAAGAAUAUAUGUUGGACAUAUUUUUUUUUUUAAUUUGUGAGUAUCAGUACACUGCUUAUAGAACCCACUCAACACUAAGUAGCCAUGAAGCAGAGACCUGUCCCCUACCGAUGGACAGCUCUCUUUCUUUCAUGACAUCUAUUCUGACCCUAUGAAAAGUCUACCCAAGUAAAACAAUUGCCACUUACUCAGCAUUAUAAAGAGAGUUGUCUAAUAGAAGAAAAAAUAGGCCUUAAUCUUCAUCAUGUGGGAUUAUGCCCCAACUUCCUUAAUAAGACUCUUACUGUACAAGAAUUAAAACCAAGAAUCAAACUAUAAAGUUUAUUUUCAGCAAAAGAAACAAUCUGUGAGGUGAACAGAGAGCCUACAUCCUGGGAGCAAAUUUUUACACCUCACAUAUCAGAUAGUGCACUAAUCUCUAGGGUUCAUAAAUAACUCAAAAAGCUAAACACUGAAAAAACAAAUAACCCAAUCAACAAGUGGGCUAAGGACCUGAACAGACACUUCUCAGAAGAGGAUAUACAAUCAAUCAAUAAAUAUAAGAAAAAAUGCUCAUCAUCUCUAGCAAUCAGAGAAAUGCAAAUCAAAACCACUUUAAGAUAUCAUCUCACUCCAGUCAGAAUGGCAGCUAUUAUGAAGACAAACAACAAUAAGUGUUGGUGAGGAUGUGGGGAAAAAGGUACACUCAUACAUUGCUGGUGGGACUGCAAAUUGGUGCAGACAAUAUAGAAAACAGUAUGGAGGUAUGGAAGCACCACUUGACCCAGCUAUUCCUCUCCUCGGACUAUAUCCAAAAGACUUAAAAACAGCAUACUACAGGGACACAGCCACAUCAAUGUUUAUAGCAGCACAAUUCACAAUAGCUAAAGGAGGAGAAGGCAGGGAUGUGGGGAUAAGAAAGAUAGUAGAAUGAAAUAGACGUGAGCCAACCUAGAUGUCCUUCAGUGGAUGAAUGGAUAAAAAAAAUGUGGCAUAUGUACACAAUGGAAUUUUACUUAGCAUUAAAAGAGAAUAAAACCAUGGCAUUUGCAUGUAAAUGGAUGGCACUGGAGAAGAUAAUGCUAAGUGAAGUUAGUCAAUCCCCAAAAAACAAAUACUGAAUGUUUUCUCUGAUGUAAGAAGGUUGGCUCAUGGUGGGGUUGGGAGGGAGAGCAUGGGAGAAAUAGGGUAGAGGGGUGAGAGAGAAAGGGAGGGGGCAGGGGAUUAGCAAGGAUGGUGAAAUGUGAUGUAUGAAGACUUGAAUUGGGUGUCAACAUACUUUAUAUACAAACAGAACUACAAAAAUUGUGGUAUAUAUGUGUAUUAAGAAUUGUAAUGCAAAAAAAAAAAAUAGCGUUACCUUAGGUAGAGGGAAGUGAAAGGAGGGGAAGGCAGGGGAUAUGGGGAUAAGAAACAUAGUAGAAUGAAACAGACAUUAUAUAUAUGUGACUGUAUAACCAAUGUGAUUCUACAAUAUGUACACUCAGAAAAAGAGAAAUUAUAUCCCAUCUACGUAUGAUACAUCAAAGUAUGUAAGUGCAUUCUACUGUCAUGUAUAACUAAUUAAAACAAAUUAAAAAUUAAAAAAAGAGAGAAUUGUGGCUUUGACCAAUAGUGUUGCCCCUGCAUCUCCCAAAAGAGCAAGAGUGCAUGGCUCUUGGAAAACUCCCUCUGCUGAGAAGCCUUGCUUACCUUCAGUCUGGUCCUCACAACUAACCUCUUACACUGUUACAGAGAAAGCCUAAUGUGUGCAUGGGAGUGGGUAUGUCAUGAGGAAUAGAACAUUCAGACAUUAAGAUUGUAUAUUGCUUCCAUUCUGCAUUCUUCUUGCACACUACCCUAGUGUGUAAUUUUGCAAUGCAUUUCCUCUUGCAUUUUACUGAACAUUUUUAAAUUCUUCAAAAACUCUGUGAUUCUAGAAUGCUGAGUUGUUUUGUGAGCCUCUGUGUUUUCAUGCAAAAUGGAAUGUCUAAUUGAUAGGAGGUUGCUGUUACAUCAAAGUAGUUUUAUACUUAAUGUAAUUCCUACAUCUGAACCAGCAUUAUACUGUUUUAUUCAGAACAACUUUAUAAUGACAAGAGCUUAAUUUAUAAUAAUAAUAGCUUAAUAGUUAAUUGAUAAGCCAGACCCACUCCAGGUUCCUCUUUAGAUUUCAUGGUGUUUUAGCCUUCAAAAUACUUUUUAUUUUUUGGGUGGAGGAUGUACUGGGGAUUGAAUUUAGGGACACUCUACCAUGGAGCCACAUCCCCAGUCCUAUUUUGUAUUUUAUUUCAGAGACAUGGUCUCACUGAAUUGUGUAGUGCCUGUUUUUGCUGAGGCUAGCAUUGAACUCAUGUUCCUCCUGUCUCUUCCUCCUGAGCUGCUGGCAUUACAUGUGUGUGCCACCGCAUCUGGCUACCUUAAAAAUACUUUUAAAAAUAACCUAGACUAAGUCUUAUAUUGACAAAUGUAGUAUAUGCCUUUAUGUAUUUAUGUUCUUUUGAACAUCUCCUAAUAAAAUUUUAUAAUUUGUCUACAGAAGUGUUAAGUCUAUUAUUUGAUUAUUCAGGCAAUUUCAGUCUCUGAUACUAUUGUAAACAGUAUAUCCUGUUCAAUCCCAAUUCCUAAUCAUUUGCCACUAGAAUAUAAAACUUUAAUACCUCAAGCUUUUAUUCAGGAACCUUGACAAUUUCUAUAGGUAUUUCCAAUAAUCUUUCUGGAGAUUACAUUUUUUUUCAAAAUAUAAAUAGUUUGGGCUGGGGAUGUGGCUCAAGUGGUAGUGCACUCGCCUGGCAUGCAGGAGGCACUGGGUUUGAUCCUCAGCACCACAUUAAAAAAAUAAAAUAAAGAUAUUGGGUCCAUCUAAAAUUAAAAAAAGAUAUUUAAAAAAUAGUCAUCAUUUGAAAAUAAUGCAAGUUUAAGCUUUCUAUAUUUUAGUAUUCCAUUCUUCUACUUUCUUUUAUUCUCAUUAUAUUUUACUCAUGAGGAUCUCCAAUACAAAUUUGAUUAAACAUGGUGAUACC
rnacentral:lncRNA from 1 species